GAAAGCUAGGGGAGCGAAUAGGAUUAGAUACCCUAGUAGUCCUAGCCGUAAAUGAGUUUUAGGCCCAUAAGUACUUUUUGGAA
rnacentral:rRNA from 1 species